rnacentral:rRNA from 1 species
CGCUGGCGGCGUGCUUCAUACAUGCAGGUCGAACGAGAAUCUCUAGCUUGCUAGAGAGGAAGUGGCGGACGGGUGUGUAAAAUGUAGAGAAUCUGCCCUAGAGAGUGGGACAACAGAGGGAAACUUCUGCUAAUACCGCAUAUGAGCGUAGCUGAAAUGCUAUUCUUGAAAACUCCGGUGCUCUAGGAUGAGUCUGCAUCUGAUUAGCUAGUUGGCGGUGUAAUGGACCACCAAGGCGACGAUCAGUAGCUGGUUUGAGAGGAUGAUCAGCCACAAUGGGACUGAGACACGGCCCAUACUCCUACGGGAGGCAGCAGUAGGGAAUUUUGCGCAAUGGGCGAAAGCCUGACGCCAGCAACGCCGCGUGACCGAUGAAGCCCUUCGGGGUGUAAAGGUCUGUCAGUGGGGACGAAACUUGACGGUACCCACAGAGGAAGCAUCGGCUAACUCCGUGCCAGCAGCCGC